UGACUUUACCUCAAGGUGGCUUUCAUCGGCUGUAAAGUGAUAUUUACCUCAUUGACUCCAGAUUGACUGAAAUGGUGUGUGUAAUACAACUAGGACAGUGCCUGACACGCAGGAAGAGCAUGAUACAUAGCAUUAGCUGUUGUAAUUUUUAAACUGCAGUUUGAUGAAACCAUUUCCAUUUUCUCAGAACCAGCCAGUCUUCACCUCCCCAUUGCCGAGCCUCUGUGAAGAGGAGUCCCUUCAAUAUCUCCUGACACCACACUACCUACUUCUCAAUUUUUCUGCUGGAGUUCCCCAGUGAAGAGGAAAGCAAGCAGGCUCUAGGAUGAUACUUCUGACAGAAGAGUCAGCGCUGAGAUGACUGGAACCAAUGCCAGGAUCCUCCAUCCAUGUGCAAGCACUUUCCUUAUCCUUGAGAGGGCAGACCGUGUCUUUGUUAUGCCUGUACGCUGAAAGACCUGGCAACACAGCCUGCACGUAGUGAGAACUUAUUGUUCACUGGAUGCACAAGGCCACUGAAGGUGUGUGCUGGCUGGGAUACCACCUCCCCCUCCUGCUCUGCCCUCUCCGCCUCCCAAGAGCUCCCGUCCUGCUGUCACAUACUGGUUAACCCCAUGCUGCUGCUUUCACCCUCCCCUUGACAGGCUUUGCCUUGCCCGUCAUUUAUGCUGUGGUGGAGAGCUAAGUCCCUAUGUCUCCUUUCCAGGGACUUCUGCAGUCAACCCUCUUAAGAAAUGAAAGCAGCCGUCUCCUCUGCAAGUGCCACUGCAGUAAAUCCAGGGAGGCUGGGACCACACAGAAGCCCUUCACCUAAACAAUGGCCUAGCACACAGCAAGAGAAAGCCAUGCUGGAGUAGGACAGCUUGUAAUUCCAAUGGGC